AUUGAACGCUGGCGGCAGGCUUAACACAUGCAAGUCGAGCGGGGUGAUGGUGCUUGCACUAUCACUUAGCGGCGGACGGGUGAGUAAUGCUUAGGAAUCUGCCUAUUAGUGGGGGACAACAUCGCGAAAGGGAUGCUAAUACCGCAUACGUCCUGCGGGAGAAAGAAGGGGAUCACUUGUGACCUUGCGCUAAUAGAUGAGCGUAAGUCGGAUUAGCUAGUGGGUGGGGUAAAGGCCUACAAAGGCGACGAUCGGUAGCGGGUCUGAGAGGCGGAUCCGCCACACUGGGACUGAGACACGGCCCAGGCUCCUACGGGAGGCAGCAGUGGGGAAUAUUGGACAAUGGGGGGAACCCUGAUCCAGCCAUGCCGCGUGUGUGAAGAAGGCCUUAUGGUUGUAAAGCACUUUAAGCGAGGAGGAGGCUCUUUUGGUUAAUACCCAAGAUGAGUGGACGUUACUCGCAGAAUAAGCACCGGCUAACUCUGUGCCAGCCGCCGCGGUAA
rnacentral:rRNA from 1 species